rnacentral:rRNA from 1 species
GUGGAAUAAUUUAUUAUUUUAUAUAAUUAUAAUGGUGUUAAUAAAAGUAAUUUUUUUUUUAGUAUUAAUUGAGAAAAAAAUAUAAUUUAUUAUAGGGAAUUAGUAUUGUGAAAGAAUAUUUUUGUAUAAGAUUAAGAAAAAAAGAAUUUUGUACCUUGUGUAUCAGGGUUUAUUAAAUUAAAUAAAGAUUUUAAUUUCUCGAAUUUAAAAGAGCUAAUUAAUUAUUGUAUUUUAUUGUUGAAUAAAUAUUUUAAAUAUUUAAUUAGAAAUGAAACGUUAUACGUUUUUAAUAUAUCUAGUUAUUUAAGAAAAAAAUUUAAUUUUAAAUUUAUGAAUAUUAUUUUUAGUUUUAAUUUAGUGUUAGUAAGUAUUAAUUUUUUUAGGGAUUAGCUUGAAAAAAGAUCAAUAAAAAAUGUUAGUAAAUUUUAAAUAGUUUAGGAUUAGAAGUUUCAAUGUUUAGAAAAAUGUUAUAAUUUAUUUUAGAAUUAAUAAAAAUUUCUAUUAUUUUUAUAUGAUUUAUUGAAUUAUUAAAUUAAAUUAUAAAAUUUAAGGAAUAAUGAUAAAAUUAGUAGUAUAAUUUAUAGGAUUAAAUUAAAAUUUAAUAGGUAAAUUUAAGGAAUUCGGCAAAUUAUUUUUCACCUGUUUAAUAAAAACAUGGCCUUUUGAACUUAAUUUAAGGUCUGACCUGCCCACUGAAUUAAAUUAAAGGGCCGCGGUAUUUUGACCGUGCUAAGGUAGCAUAAUCAUUAGUUUCUUAAUUAGAAGCUGGAAUGAAUGGUUGGAUGAAAAAAUAACUGUCUUAAAUUUAAUUAAAAUGAAUUUUAUUUUUAAGUUAAAAAGCUUAAAUUUCAUUAAAAGACGAGAAGACCCUAUAGAGUUUAAUAUAAUAAAAAUUUAUAUUUUUAGUAUUUUAAUAAUAAAUUUCUAAUUAUAUUUAAUUGGGGUGAUUAAAAAAUUAAGUUAACUUUUUUUAGUAUUAAACAUGAAUAAAUGAGCAGAUGAUCCAUUUAAAUGAUUAUAAGAUUAAAUUACCUUAGGGAUAACAGCGUAAUUUUUUUUGAGAGUUCAAAUCGAAAAAAAAGAUUGCGACCUCGAUGUUGGAUUAAAAUUAAUUAUUGGUGUAGAGGCUAAUAAAUUGGGUCUGUUCGACCUUUAAAAUUUUACAUGAUCUGAGUUUAAACCGGUGUGAGCCAGGUUGGUUUCUAUCUUUAAUUAAAAUUUAUAUUUUAGUACGAAAGGACCAAAUAUAAGGUAAAUUAUUUAUUUUUAGAAUUAAAAU